rnacentral:rRNA from 1 species
ACUCAAAGGAAUUGACGGGGGCCCGCACAAGCGGAGGAGCAUGUGGUUUAAUUCGAUGAUACGCGAGGAACCUUACCCGGGCUUGAAUUGCAGUGGAAUAGCCAAGAAAUUGGUUAGUCUUCGGACCACUGUGAAGGUGCUGCAUGGUUGUCGUCAGCUCGUGCCGUGAGGUGUUAGGUUAAGUCCUGCAACGAGCGCAACCCUUACACUUAGUUGCCAGCACGUAGCGGUGGGAACUCUAGGUGAACUGCCUACGCAAGUAGAGAGGAAGGUGGGGAUGACGUCAAAUCAGCACGGCCCUUAUGUUCGGGGCUACACACGUGCUACAAUGGUCGGUACAGAGGGCAGCUACCCCGCGAGGGGAUGCGAAUCUCGAAAGCCGAUCUCAGUUCGGAUCGGAGUCUGUAACUCGACUCCGUGAAGUUGGAUUCGCUAGUAAUCGCGCAUCAGCCAUGGCGCGGUGAAUACGUUCCCGGGCCUUGCACACACCGCCCGU